rnacentral:rRNA from 1 species
AACGAACGCUGGCGGCAUGCCUAACACAUGCAAGUCGAACGAAGGCUUCGGCCUUAGUGGCGCACGGGUGCGUAACGCGUGGGAAUCUGCCCUUUGCUUCGGAAUAACAGUUAGAAAUGACUGCUAAUACCGGAUGAUGUCGCAAGACCAAAGAUUUAUCGGCAAAGGAUGAGCCCGCGUAGGAUUAGCUAGUUGGUGGGGUAAAGGCCUACCAAGGCGACGAUCCUUAGCUGGUCUGAGGGGAUGAUCAGCCACACUGGGACUGAGACACGGCCCAGACUCCUACGGGAGGCAGCAGUGGGGAAUAUUGGACAAUGGGCGAAAGCCUGAUCCAGCAAUGCCGCGUGAGUGAUGAAGGCCUUAGGGUUGUAAAGCUCUUUUACCCGGGAUGAUAAUGACAGUACCGGGAGAAUAAGCUCCGGCUAACUCCGUG